GACGUAGGUGGCAAACGUUAUCCGGAAUUAUUGGGCGUAAAGGGUGCGUAGAUGGCAUGAUAAGUUAUUGGUGGUAAAUCGAGGCUCAACCUCGUGGAAGCUGGUAAUACUGUCAUACUUGAGUGCAGAAGAGGUUAACGGAACUCCCUGUGGAGCGGUAAAAUGUGAAGAUAUAGGGACGAACACCAAUAACGGCGAAGGCAGUUAACUAUUUUGCUACUGACAUUGAGGCACGAAAGCGUGGGGAGCAAAACGG
rnacentral:rRNA from 1 species